AUUUUUUAAGAUUUUUGUUGUCAUUCUGAUCCAACUAAUUCCCUUUUUAUUUUAUUACAAAAAACUCUUUUGUUCACAAGGAAAACCAAAUCUUAACAGUACAGCUGCCUCUCUUUGGUACUUCAAUCCGGACAUACCAGAAUGCUUAGCAUAUAAACAUUUCUUUGCACAACUACCCGUUGAAAUACAACAACUCCCUUCAUCAUCGAAUGCUGUUUUAUCGAUAGAGGAACAAAUCAAAGAAAAUAGGAGAACAAUACAUGAGAUUCUUUGCAUGAAUCCUUAUGAGCACAAGCAUCUAAGAUUCACCUGUCAAGCUUCGAUUGUUGACUUUGAUUUCCCCAAUGGCUGGUGGUAUCCAAGCUGUCCAAAAUGCAACAAAAAACUUAGUGGGGGCGAACAAAAUUACACGUGCAUGGAUCAUGAUGCUAUCACCUCUCUUCCAGUUCCAUGGUUUCGCUUAGAAUGCAUUGUUACCGAUGGAGAAGAUGUCACUAAUUUUCUUCUAUUUGGGAAAACUGCGGAGAACUUUUUUGGAUCAUCAGCCCACCAUUAUGUCUAUGAUAAAAAAUUUAUUGAUCCCUCAGUUCUUCCUCCUGCCAUGGCAGCAAAGUUGAACAAAAGCAUGAUUUUUCAGCUUCGAUUUGGUGCUUUCAGAUCCAUCACCAACAGAUGUGAGGUUAUCAUUACUAAUAUUUUUGACGACACCACAAAUAAGAGCAUCCAUCCUUUAGAAACACCAACUCCAGAACCUAAAUCAUCUGCUACAUCCAAGACAUCUACUCCAUUAAGCUCUAUGAAACAGGUUCUCAUAGCUCCAUCAACUCCACAAAAUACUGUCACACAACUCAGCAUUGCUCCUAAUUCCUUGGAGACACCACCUCAGAACAUAUCACCAAACAAGGAAACAAGCAUAAACAGUGAAGCACGACGUGCACUUGAUUUUGAAGCUGCAACACAACAACUUAGUCCUGAAGAUGAGCAUGAAAAAGCAAUUGAAGUCCAAGGAAACUUGGGAAACAUAGCUACAUCCGACACAUUUGAUCACUCACUUCCACCUUCGAAAAAACAACGGACAACAUCCUCAUCAUCUUCAAAGAGGUUGGGGAACCAUGACGCCCAUUCCUGACAUAGGAUAUGCAUAAUGGAUGAUCCACAUUCAGGCAGGACUGCAAUCCUUCUUUCAGGAAAACUAGCAAUUCCUCUACAAAUGACUUGCAUUUGGAUUUCUAUACCAAGAACAUGACUGCUACCUCUGUAAUUUUGAUAUAAUUUGCAAACAACGAUCUCCUUUAAGUACUCAGCAAUCUGGCAGCUUAUUUCCACUUUUGAUGUUGUUUGUAACUUAAUCUAUAUUAUCAUGACUGCUGCCUUUGUAAUUUUAAUAUAAUUUGCUAACAACAAUGUCCUUUAAGUGCUUAACAAUCUGGUAGCUUAUUUUCACUUUUGAUGUUGUUUAUAACUUAAUCUAUAUUAUCAAACCUUUCAUACUAGAGUUGGCUUCAAU